rnacentral:misc_RNA from 1 species
CCUCCGUACCGGCAUGACCCGACGUAGAGUGGUGUGUGUACCCGGUUAGUGAAUAGGUAGUGAAAUAUUCGAUGUGGGAUACAGCCACAAUAAACUAGAGAGAGCGCUCGUAUAGAGGCAUCUGCAAACAGGAGAGGGGAUUGCUGCCAAAAGCGUACCAAUAAUUCGCCGGACCGCCCCUUGGUUAAAUCAGUUUCGUUCCUAGUUCGCGGUGUUCGACAUCAGCCGGAGGAGAGAGAGACAAUAGUGUGUGCGCGUUUUAUUUAUUUACGUACUCGCCUCCGGUUGGUCUUCCGUAAACUUUCGCUUCGCGAGAGCGGGGCGAUGCGCGCGUUUUGAAACAAUUCAUUGAUCUUUUGCACCUAGCGCGUCGCGCGUGGUUUCGCGAUUCGUACGUCGCGCCUCUGAGGCGACACGCGACGUAUGUCGUCGCGCGCGCGAGAGAAAGGGAGAAAGAGAGAAAGGGGAGCUUUACAGUGUCGAGCGAAAAUAAGCGUUAAUAAGCAAGAAAAUGAAGAGGAACGCAGUGCUUUAUCAGUAGCUUCGCGACGCUUUGCCAUUCGGCCAAUCGUUCAGUUGGUGUCAGUUCUUAAUCACGCACGAGCCACCGGGACCUCGUCAGCCGGUUUUCACACAUCAUUCGAACUCUAAGCCGAGGAAUCUCUCUUUUUAUUUUCGUUUCCUAAGUGGAAUUACAAGGGAAGACGCAAACAGUGUAGGAAAAAGAAGAGUGUUCAACACUGCAAGAAAACUAUACAAGAGAUUGGGAAAAAUAAAAAAGAAGAAAAAAAACAAGAACAAAGAAAAGAAGGAACAAAGAAUAGAACAAAGUGCUUCUAUUGUUAGUAUCUGAAAAACCGAAGAAAUUUUCCAUUUUUAAAUAUUAUAUACUAACGCAUCUACUGCACCAUAAGGAAACUCGGUGCAUUACAAUGUAGUAUGUGUGUGUGACUGUACCAUAGGAUACUAUUACAUAUUACCAGACGCUGAAGAACAAAAGGUAAAUAUUUCGGCAUGCGUGAACAAGGAAUAUAUCUUCAACAUUUCCGAGGAAGAAUCAGAUAUCAAGAGAGAAGGAGAAAACAAGGAGAUACUUUCUAUGAAAACGGUAACGGAUGGUUCUUCCUUCAAUCAGGCCUGAAUCGUGGCGAAGGUGUUUGAAGGUGGAGUGCCAAGGAGUGAACACGAUAGCACCGCGGGUCGUGAGUCCUAAGGGGACGGACGCCAUGGCGGCCUCUUCGUCCUCAUCGAGCGGCGGCGAGCAGCAGUACUCGCUUAGGUGGAACGACUUCCACUUGAGCAUUCUCAACUCAUUCCGGAGUCUGAGAGACCACCAAGACUUUGUCGACGUCACCCUUGCCUGCGACAGCUGCACCUUCACCGCGCACAAAGUCGUUCUUUCGGCAUGUAGUCCAUACUUCCGCGAUUUGCUCAAGGCGAAUCCAUGUCAGCAUCCGAUUGUAAUCCUGAGGGACGUAGCGUCGUCAGAUAUGGAGUCCUUGCUACGCUUCAUGUAUAACGGAGAAGUGCACGUGGGUCAGGAGCAGCUGCCUGCCUUCUUGAAGACAGCGCAGAUGCUUCAGGUACGAGGAUUGGCAGACGUUAACAGUGGCGUUUCCAAUACGAAAAUUCCAGCGUCGUCGUCGUCGGCCGGCAACAACGGUAGCGCGCCUGCAACACCACGCAAUCCUUGGCAGGAUAACGGCAGAGGGGAUCUUAAUGAAAGUGACAUGAGCCCCCCAGAAAAGCGAGCGAGAAGUUGCAGCCCGCCGUUAGACAACCAUGUUGUGGAACAAAAAUCGGAUCUACAAGAAUCUUUGCUAGGUCAGGCUCUAGAAGGUGGGCCUACGAUACAUACGAUACCUACAAAUAAUGUACAGUCAACUGGGGAGGAUUCGAAUUCUAUGUCGGAAAAUGAGGAGGACAUAUCGAAUAAUGGCAGUAUCCUGAACACAGUGAAGACUGAACCGAGUGAUAUUCUAAACGACUCUAUAGAACAUCAUCGCAACAGUUUUCCUGCGGCAUUGUUGGGCCUUCAAGGGAUGGGCUUGCCAGGACCGUCAGGUAUUCAUCAGGUGGCAAAUCAGGAUCCUAAUUAUGGGCGGUGGCAGCCCUCUGGAGGAGAUGGUUCAAGUUCGAGUUCCGGUUGGCUGCCGGGUUCGUCCUCCACGAGAAACGAGCACGCCGGGUCUGGAACUUACCAGAGUGGCGGAGGUCACAACUCAAAAGGGCAGGAUUUCUCGACCCUACUUCAGCAUCAUCAUCAUCAGCAUCAUCAUCACCAUACCACCAGCCAACAGUCGUCGCAGCAACACACCCUUAAUGCCCUCAACUCCCUCAGCCUGAACAGUGAGCAACUCACGAUGAUGCAUCAAAAACUACAGAAUAAUCUCCAAAGUCUCCAGCAGAACACUGCUGCCAAGGGCGACCAACUGAAUCUGAUGCUGCAGUCUUGCGCGAAGGACAAGAUUGAGAGUAUUGCGAUGUUACAUCAGCAAACUCAGAGGCGGUUCCAACAGCAGCAGAUGGAUAACAACGGUAUCAAUCACAACGGUAAACCCAAGUGUCCCGAAUGUGGCAAGAUAUAUUCGAACAAUUCCAAUUUGAAGCAACACAUUGUCAACGUUCAUACUGUGCAAACCGAAUACAUCUCGUGUCACGUGUGCAGCAAGCAAUUCAAGACCAAGCAGUAUCUACAGAUCCACUUGCUUUCCAUGCACGGUAUUAGAAAGCGAAAGAGUUACCCUUUGUAUCAGAUGCAGACACACAUGCAAAAUCAACAACAAUCUGCCUUGCAGCCUGCUGGUUCGCAAGGUCCCACGGGUCAACAACAACAAUAUUCCGGGUCGGAAAGAUGGUCCGAAGACAAGCAGUGAUUUGGAAAUAGUCCAGAAUAAAUCGAUUAUAAUUUAUGCAAAAAAUUCUGAAGGGACUUUUUGAUGUAGAAGAAUCGUUUGCCAAGAAGGCUCUUCGGAUAAUUUGUGAUAAAUACAAACGUUGAUAAACACAGACAGAGUUAUUAGGUGAUUCUUGUGAGACUGACAACUUUAUAGUGACGUAUUCGCGCGCGUUAUUAUCAUAUUAUAAAAGACUCAAAUAUGCAAAAUACACUAUGUGUAUUUCUGCACGUCAUAGAGAUGACGAAAUGUGUGCUCGUGUCUUUUAACGGAAAGCUUGGAUGAGGGUGUGGAGGUGUCGAUAGGUGUUGGCGAAAGAGGGUGCUGGUACACGAGAAUUGGCCGACCUAUUUUCGUCCUAUACCGCAGUGCGCAGUUCACCCUUUGCGAUGACGAUAAGCAAGCUUCCUCGAUUGGUCGGGAGAGGAAGAACGGGGAUAGAUAAGAGAAGGCUAGAAAGAGAUUUGCGAAUGCUCACUCGUGAAAUUCUUUGCGGUAUAACUAUUGUAUUAAGUAAAGUGGACCAGCCUAGUUUCUUGAAAGAUAGGUUUGCAUCAUGAAGCCAUCCUUUUACAGUGUAUUCGGCCUUCGUAAAAUAGGUUUUAUAAAAGAGGUAGAAUGAAGGAUUAUAUACGCGUAAAAAUGGGUGGCAAAGUCUGAAAUAUAAACCCCAUCUCGA